rnacentral:rRNA from 1 species
CAUACAGCUCAGUAACACGUGGCUAACCUGCCCUUGGGACGAGAACACCCCCGGGAAACUGGGGCUAAUUCUCGAUAGGCGAAGAACUCUGGAAUGAGUCUUUACCUAAAAGACGCUAAAGCUAUGCUUUUUGGCACCGCCCAAGGAUGGGGCCGCGACCGAUCAGGUUGUUGGCGAGGUAAUGGCUCACCAAGCCUUUUACCGGUGCGGGCCGUGGGAGCGGGAGCCCGGAGAUGGGCACUGAGACAAGGGCCCAGGCCCUACGGGGCGCAGCAGUCGCGAAAACUUUGCAAUAAGCGAAAGCUUGACAGGGCUAUCCCGAGUGCCAUCCGCUGAGGAAGGCUUUUACCCAGUCUAGAACGCUGGGGGAAUAAGGAGAGGGCAAGUCUGGUGUCAGCCGCCGCGGUAAUACCAGCUCUUCGAGUGGUGUGGAUGUUUAUUGGGCCUAAAGCAUCCGUAGCUGGCUAUGUUAGUCCCCUGUUAAAUCCACCGAAUUAAUCGUUGGAUUGCGGGGGAUACUGCUUGGCUAGGGGACGAGAGAGGCAGACGGUAUUUCCGGGGUAGGGGUGAAAUCCUAUAAUCCCGGGAAGACCACCAGUGGCGAAGGCUGUCUGCUAAAACGCGCCCGACGGUGAGGGAUGAAAGCUGGGGGAGCGAACC